CCCCUAGAUGUUCUGGGCCGCACGCGCGCUACACUGAACAGUUCAACAAGUCUUAACCUUGGCCGAUAGGUCUGGGUAAUCUUUGAACGCUGUUCGUGAUUGGGAUAGACCUUUGCAAUUAUGGGUCUUCAACGAGGAAUUCCUAGUAAACGCAAGUCAUCAGCUUGCAUUGAUUACGUCCCUGCCCUUUGUACACACCGCCCGUCGCACCUACCGAUUGAAUGGUCCGGUGAAAUCUCGGGACGGCGGCUUGGUCGCUUGCGUCCGACUGCUGAAACUUGAUUAAACCAUAUCACUUAGAGGAAGGUGAAGUCGUAACA
rnacentral:rRNA from 1 species